rnacentral:rRNA from 1 species
UACGUAGGGUGCGAGCGUUAAUCGGAAUUACUGGGCGUAAAGGGUGCGCAGGCGGUCUCGUAAGCUGGGUGUGAAAGCCCCGGGCUCAACCUGGGAAUGGCGAUGGAUACUGGCUCGCUAGAGUGCGGUAGAGGAGAGUGGAAUUCCCGGUGUAGCAGUGAAAUGCGUAGAGAUCGGGAGGAACAUCAGUUGCGAAGGCGGCUCUCUGGACCAGCACUGACACUGAGGCACGAAAGCGUGGGGAGCAAACAGG